UUGGCCCUUUUGGAAACAGUUGAGUCAA
rnacentral:piRNA from 1 species